rnacentral:rRNA from 1 species
UACGUAGGGGGCAAGCGUUGUCCGGAUUUAUUGGGCGUAAAGAGCGUGUAGGCGGUUUGGUAGGUCCGUUGUGAAAACUCGAGGCUCAACCUCGAGACGCCGAUGGAAACCAUCAGACUAGAGUCCGGAAGAGGAGAGUGGAAUUCCGUGGUGUAGCGGUGAAAUGCGCAGAUAUCAGGAAGAACACCCGUGGCUAAGGCGGCUCUCUAGUACGGUACUGACGCUGAGGAGCGAAAGCGUGGGGAGCGAACAGG